rnacentral:rRNA from 1 species
UCUGUAGGCGGAGGUAUAAGUUGGACGUGAAAGCUCCGGGCUCAACCCGGAGAGAGCGUUCAAUACUGUAUCACUAGAGGAGGUCAGAGGAGAGCGGAAUUUCCGGUGUAGCGGUAAAAUGCGCAGAUAUCGGAAGGAACACCAGUGGCGAAAGCGGCUCUCUGGGGCCCACCUGACGCUGAGAGACGAAAGCUAGGGGAGCAAACAGGAUUAGAUACCCUGGUAGUCC